GACCUGGUGGUGAAAGGCAUCAUAUCCACAUUGCUUGGGGUGUCUGCUGAACAAGGUAUUUGUGGGAGUCCCCGGUUCGAAUCUGGGCCAGGUCA